rnacentral:lncRNA from 1 species
CCUAUGAAGUCAAAGCAGUAUCUACGAAGCUUCUAAAAAGCUUCCAUAUUAAAUAUUAUAGAAUUAAUUUACUUUUACCUACUUUUACUUACUUCUACCUAUUUGUAUAUGUUAUUAUUAGCUUACAUGAUUAUGGCCAUGACACUUUGAGUGCUAAAAACUCCUUCAUAAAAAUCUCAAAUCACACAAAAUUUACAUCCAAUUUGUACCCAAAAUCAUAAAUUUGCUGAUCCUAGCCUCUAAAGCUUGAAUGACUUUGAAAGAAAAACCCUAAUCUCUAAUAAAGCCUUAGGCAGCCUCCUUCAAGCCCAUUGGACAUGACGUUCAACUAAUAGGAAUGAAGAUCUCCAUUCCUUCCUUUCAUCCCUCCCAAUAAGCCUCCUACUAGUUAAGAUUUUUUUAUUUAGGCUCUAAUCUCUUCUCAAGGCUUCAUACUAAACAUUUAGAUCCUAUAAUAUUUUUAAAUACUAUAA